UACAGAGGUCCCAAGCGUUGUUCGGAUUCACUGGGCGUAAAGGGUGCGUAGGUGGUCGGGUAAGUCUGAUGUGAAAUCUCCGAGCUUAACUCGGAAAUGGCAUUGGAUACUAUUCGGCUAGAGGGUUUGAGGGGGGACUGGAAUACUUGGUGUAGCAGUGAAAUGCGUAGAUAUCAAGUGGAACACCAGUGGCGAAGGCGAGUCCCUGGAAAACUCCUGACACUGAGGCAC
rnacentral:rRNA from 1 species